rnacentral:rRNA from 1 species
AGCAGCCGCGGUAAUUCCAGCUCCAAUAGCGUAUAUUAAAGUUGUUGCAGUUAAAAAGCUCGUAGUUGAAUUUCGGGAUCAAUAUGUUGGUCGUGCCUCGGUACGUACUAGCUUAUUGGUUUCUCCUUUCUGAAGAACCAUGAUGUCAUUUAUUUGGUGUCGUGGGGAAUCAGGACUGUUACUUUGAAAAAUUAGAGUGUUUAAAGCAGGCUCACGCUUGAAUACAUUAGCAUGGAAUAAUGAAAUAGGACGUUUGAUUCUAUUUUGUUGGUUUUUAGGAUCGACGUAAUGAUUAAUAGGGAUAGUUGGGGGCAUUAGUAUUCAAUUGUCAGAGGUGAAAUUCUUGGAUUUAUUGAAGACUAGCUACUGCGAAAGCAUUUGCCAAGGAUGUUUUCAUUAAUCAAGAACGAAAGUUAGGGGAUCGAAGACGAUCAGAUACCGUCGUAGUCUCAACCAUAAACUAUGCCGACUAGGGAU